GGGAAGCUCGGGAGGAAUCAUGAAAGGUGGGAUGCUGGGAGGAAAUUGGAUAUGGGGAACGGCUUGGUUCUGGCUAGGACACGGAGCAGGGGAGGACAUGGAAGCUUGAUCUCUAAGCACUAAAAAAGGUGACGUGGACAUGGGUUCAUCUGCAAACGCGACCUGCACACAUUAGUUCAGACAUCAUCCCAAUUAGUUCGACUUGACCUGCACACAUUAGACCCGACCAAUAAAAUCAGGCAAACUCGAAUUAUUUUUAAUAAUUUAUUAAAAUGCAAUUAUGAAGGUAACACAUUUUUUUUGGUUGAAUUUAUAAAAUAUGUAAAUUAAAAUAAUGAUAAGUGCUAUGAAUAAGAUAUUAAUUUAUGCAUUAUUUAGCACUUAUCACACCCCCCAACCUACAUUUUGCUAGUCCUCGAGCAAAAUAAUAAUAAUAAAAAAAAAACUAACUCACUUUCGCAGGAAUCGUGAUUGCAUUUACCGUAUGCAAUAAGGCUUUAAACCCCUAGGUGGCCCUAGUGGACGAGUUUUGUCUCGUGAGGGUUUCCGGCGCAGAUACCCACAAACUGCUGUCGAAAGAAUUUAUUUUAUUGUUUUAUAAAAUCUAAUUUCAAAUGCAUAAGUGCCAAUAAUUUCAAAAGCACACAAAGUUUUAAUUACUAAGUUAGCCCAAAUCAUAGAUCAGUAUGCAACUUAAGUUGAGGUUAUUAAGCUUCCGUUAGAGAGUUGUAAGG
rnacentral:lncRNA from 1 species